rnacentral:rRNA from 1 species
GAGUUUGAUCCUGGCUCAGGACGAACGCUGGCGGCGUGCCUAACACAUGCAAGUCGAACGGAGAUACGCGCUGAAUGGAUGGAGCUUGCUUUUGAAAUUCUUGUGUAUCUUAGUGGCGGACGGGUGAGUAACGCGUGAGCAACCUGCCUUUCAGAGGGGGAUAACGUUUGGAAACGAACGCUAAUACCGCAUGAGACCACGGUACUGCAUAGUACAGUGGCCAAAGGAGCAAUCCGCUGAAAGAUGGGCUCGCGUCCGAUUAGAUAGUUGGCGGGGUAACGGCCCACCAAGUCGACGAUCGGUAGCCGGACUGAGAGGUUGAACGGCCACAUUGGGACUGAGACACGGCCCAGACUCCUACGGGAGGCAGCAGUGAGGGAUAUUGGUCAAUGGGGGAAACCCUGAACCAGCAACGCCGCGUGAGGGAAGACGGUUUUCGGAUUGUAAACCUCUGUCCUCUGUGAAGAUAAUGACGGUAGCAGAGGAGGAAGCUCCGGCUAACUACGUGCCAGCAGCCGCGGUAAUACGUAGGGAGCGAGCGUUGUCCGGAUUUACUGGGUGUAAAGGGUGCGUAGGCGGCCCUGCAAGUCAGAAGUGAAAUCCAUGGGCUUAACCCGUGAACUGCUUUUGA